UACGGAGGGAGCUAGCGUUAUUCGGAAUUACUGGGCGUAAAGCGCACGUAGGCGGCUUUGUAAGUUAGAGGUGAAAGCCUGGAGCUCAGCUCCAGAACUGCCUUUAAGACUGCAUCGCUUGAAUCCAGGAGAGGUGAGUGGAAUUCCGAGUGUAGAGGUGAAAUUCGUAGAUAUUCGGAAGAACACCAGUGGCGAAGGCGGCUCACUGGACUGGUAUUGACGCUGAGGUGCGAAAGCGUGGGGAGCAAACAGG
rnacentral:rRNA from 1 species